ACGUCAGAGAGAGAAGAGAAAGGGAGAGUGAAGAGAAAGGGAGAAAGAAAGAAAGAGAGAGAGAGAGAGACGCUGCCGACGGGACAAGGGUGGUGGAACUGCGACCUUCGACCUGGGUCUUCUUCUCCGGCGAUCAGCGGUGUGCAACGGCGAGCUCUCGGCGACCUUUGAUGAACAUUGGCUGUGAAUAGCGGCUGUGGGUGGCAAGUUCCUCCGAUAGUGUCUCCGGUGGCGUUAUCGGCGGCAGUAGUAGCUGCGUCAGUGGCUCUUUUCCGGCGAGCUUUUGACCGGCGACGAUGGCGUGGUGGAACGGUGAUGGUGAAAACCGGCUUCUUCCUCCAUUGCAGGCGGCGAUGGCGAUGGUGUCCGACGGUGUGGUUGCUGUUUUGGACGUGAGUUGAUGGUGAUGAUGAACAUGGUCUGCAAGUUCCUUAUCAGAUUAAUCAGGUUGCUAUAAGGUAUUGGCAGGAACUUAGGCUUCAAGGUUAAUUUUGCAGGUGAUGAUUGCAUGAAAAUUUGGAGCAUUGAGCAUGAGAGCGACUCGUUUUAUUAGAUUAAAUGUAUUGGAUUUUCUUUUAAUUAUUAAAGAAUUUUAGAACUUGUUCUAGAAUUUUUAGUACUUGAUUUAUUAUAAUGUGUUUAGAGAUGGGGUUAUAAUUAUAGUGGUUUUAGCCUGUGCGUUUGAGUAUGAGAUACUCGAACGUGGCAUGACACUCUUUUUCCUUUCUUGUUGUAGAAAGCUUCCGCUAUUGUAAAAGUUAUUUGUAAAUAAAAAAAAAAUUAAAUUACCCGUAUUUUCUUAAGUGGAAAAAGUGGGGUGUUACAUGAUUUA